rnacentral:rRNA from 1 species
UCCAGUGCAGCCAUAUCACUCUGCAUCUCACACGUAGCAACCCACUGAAGCUAAGCAGGUGUGAGCCUCUUCAGUACUUGGAGGGGAACCUCCUGAGAAAAACUAAGGUUGCUGCUGGAA